AAAAAUAAUCCUCAUUUGUUUAUGAAUUUUUGUGGCCAACAACUUAUCAAUGUUGGUAAGGUAAAUUGCAAUAACAAAGUGCUACCAGAUAGAUUAAAAAUUACCGUUAACGUCGGCAGACAAAUUGUUGUUAUCGUUGUUUACGUUUGCAAAACGACGAACUAAUUCUGUUAUUAUAACGAUAAAAAAAAACACGCCUAUUUUCUGUCUCUCCCCUUCCUCUCUUGUUUAUAGUUGCUUUGUAAAACAAAUAAAAGCUGCGGCAGCGACAGCGCUGCGUAGUCUAAUAAGAAAAUUAUGGCAGCAACCACCGCCGCAAUUUUAAAGUAAUCAAAAAGGUCGUAUAGAAGAGAAAGGUAAAAAACACGCGCACAACAACAAGUACGAUACCUACAAUAGGAAGAAAUUGAUGAAACAAAUUGUGAAAAAGUAGUAACAAGGAAAAAAAAAAGAAAAUAAAAAUAAAAUCAAGAGUAAAUUGAACAACUAACAAAGAAUAGGAAAAAUGGGAGGGGGUAAAAUGUGAAAUGAAAAGUAAACAACAAUGAUGAUGGCAAUAAAUGACCACAUUAUCACAACAACUAAAACAUUACUAGCAGAAAACGAUGGGCACGAGAAAAACAAAUGUGUCAUAUAAAGUACGUAGUUAGUGUAUGGCGUAUUUUGUUUUUGCUUUUUUGCGAAGGACAAUAUAAGAUGUGUUGAGAGCAAGAGUGACAUAAUUCUUCUACAAGGACGAACAUUGACGAAGAUAUAGCAGGCAGUGCUUGCUGAUAUCAGCAGAUAAAUUUUUCUGGUUGUAUGUAUCAUACAAACACUUGAAUAUCACAUACAACAUUUUAACAACUACGCUCCAACAUAGAAUGGGUGGACAUUUUUUUACUCAUUCCGUUUGUAACAACUCAGAAAGUUACCUUUUGCAAAAAAACAUGAGCAUAAAAUAACGAUGGAAAAAAUUCGCUUGCCAACCUACUGAAAUCAUCUGUUUUACAUUCAUAAAAUCGGCUGAUUUCAGUGAGUUGAACGAAUCGAGUGAUACAAUUUUAUAGAUUUUGGCAGUUAAAAACACUGUUGCACAUUAUUUUUUACACACACAAGGACAUCGAAACCCGGGUUUUUUCCCCGGCACGGGAUAGCUUCGAAGACCACACACGCUGGAACAUUGAGCUCCAAUCUGUGUGAUGAUCAUAGCUGUCACGAAAAGCUUAGCUGUGAGUUUCUGGGUGACUCCACAGAUUUCGGAUAGAGGAAAACUUCAUUCAUAGUAGCUGCAACUGCAGUCGCAGACAAUCAGCGCUAUCAAGUGGAGAGUCUCAGUGAGAGGCCGAACGGCACUGGCUCGUGCUUAACUACUGAGUUGAUACGAUGCUCGAUACAACAAGGCGAGUUAUUGGUGCCUUUAAUAUCCGAUGGCCAUCAUGCUCCCACGGCGAUCGCCCGUAUGGACCUGGAACUUGACGAGGAUCGCCACCUCCACAUGCAAAUGUGCCUACAACAAUAUGAUUGGAAAACAACUAUGUGAUUGGAAAACAUUUCUACAGAAUUUUGUCAACAUCGAGGAAGAAAAUCAUGUAUGUGCCUGAUCAGCACCUGCACUUUAGUUAUUAACCGAGAUAUAUACAUAUAUAACUUUUUAAGCAAAGAAACGUUGAAAGACAAAUAGAAAAUGGGAAAUUUCCGUUGCACCAAGGCGUAUAAAUACGCCUUGCGUUGUACGUUUCAAAUAGAAGUCAUUUUUGUAUCGUGUUCUUACUGACGCUACAAAAUUACAUGCCUGGGUAACCAAAAAAAUCAACGCCUUUAUAUGGUAAGAACUCCUAGAAUCAUGUCAGACGAGCACAUAGGGGUUGUACGUUGUUCGUAAUCUACAUAAGUACCUACUAUUUGACAAUUAAUCAAAGGUAAGUUGAAUUUGCCUUUUCGCUAAUAGUUAUCAUUAAUCUGGCAACACUAUAUCUCCUUAAAUUGCAGGAAUUUGGGGAGAAGGGCAGAGGCAAAUGUGCCAAACUAAUUGCGUGUUUUCUUUCUCAUAUAUGUAUGUAUGUAUGUACCUAUAUAAAAACGUUGUACAACAUACACUCCCCAUUUAGUACAUACUUAUUAUAUAGAUAUUUUUUACAUAUGUAUGUAUUUAUGUACCAAAAACCGAUAUAUAUAUAUAUAUAUGCAAACAAAUAUUGCCCAUAAACUUAA